UACGAAGGGGGCUAGCGUUGUUCGGAAUUACUGGGCGUAAAGGGCGCGUAGGCGGUGUGUCAAGUCAGGCGUGAAAGCCCCGGGCUUAACUCGGAACGGUCAGAUGAUACUGUUUUGCUAGAGUGCAGAAGGGGCAAUCGGAAUUCUUGGUGUAGCGGUGAAAUGCGUAGAUAUCAAGAGGAACACCUGAGGUGAAGACGGGUUGCUGGGCUGACACUGACGCUGAGGCGCGAAAGCCAGGGGAGCAAACGGG
rnacentral:rRNA from 1 species